rnacentral:rRNA from 1 species
UACGUAGGGUGCAAGCGUUAAUCGGAAUUACUGGGCGUAAAGCGUGCGCAGGCGGUUUGUAAGUCUGUCGUGAAAUCCCCGGGCUCAACCUGGGAAUUGCGAUGGAGACUGCAAGGCUAGAAUCUGGCAGAGGGGGGGUAGAAUUCCACGGUGUAGCAGUGAAAUGACGUAGAGAUGUGGAGGAACACCGGAUGGCGAAGGCAGCCCCCUGGGUCAAGAUUGACGCUCAUGCACGAAAGCGUGGGGA